UGGGGAAUAUUGGACAAUGGGCGAAAGCCUGAUCCAGCCAUGCUGCGUGAGUGAAGAAGGUCUUCGGAUUGUAAAGCACUUUAAGUUGGGAGGAAGGGCAGUAAGCGAAUACCUUGCUGUUUUGACGUUACCGACAGAAUAAGCACCGGUUAACUCUGUGCCAGCAGCCGCGGUAAUACAGAGGGUGCAAGCGUUAAUCGGAAUUACUGGGCGUAAAGCGCGCGUAGGUGGUUCGGUAAGUUGAAUGUGAAAGCCCCGGGCUCAACCUGGGAACUGCAUCCAAAACUGGCGAGCUAGAGUAGGGCAGAGGGUGGUUGAAUUUCCUGUGUAGCGGUGAAAUGCGUAGAUAUAGGAAGGAACACCAGUGGCGAAGGCGACCACCUGGGCUCAUACUGACACUGAGGUGCGAAAGCGUGGGGAGCAAACAGG
rnacentral:rRNA from 1 species